rnacentral:misc_RNA from 1 species
AAGUCGUAACAAGGUUUUGCUAAGCAACAGUCCUUCUGUAGCAGAGCUUAACGGAGACCUUGCACCCGAGAGGGGGGGAGGCGACUAUAAACAAGCUUCCAGCGCAAGUCAGCACUGUCUGGCAACACAAUCGAAUUGCGGGGACGCUUUAAAGCCUACCGGUACCAACCACUCUUAACGGGGUGGGGCGAGCAUGCUCGAGGUCACAAUCUGGUAGGAUGCAACAAUAAGCAAUCCGCAGCGGCAUGACCGUUCACAGACUAAGUGGUUGUGGGUAGGAGAACCCUAUCUAAGAUAUAGUCGGGCCUGAAGAGAAAUCUCCAGGGCUUCUGCGUCCGUAGGUGAACCUGCGGAAGGAUCAUUAAAAAGAUCAACCCGGUUGUGAAGUCAAUGCCUUUAUCGGCCUUGUGGGGCUGUCUUAAACUCACAGCAAUGCCAAUUGACAAGUCAUGCCUGUUUACAGGCCUUGUGGGGCUGUUUUAAACUCACAGCAAUACCAGUGACGCACACUCAUACCGGGGGCUUCGGUCCCCGGGCCGGUUGAAUCCCACCCGUGUCUAUAUACUCUUGUUGCUUUGGCAGGCCGUGGUCUCCGACUGUGGGCUCUGCCUGCAUGUGCCUGCCAGAGGACGAAACUCUGAAUUUUAGUGAUGUCUGAGUACUAUAUAAUAGUUAAAA